rnacentral:rRNA from 1 species
UUCCGAGGUAAGGAAUUCUUCGAGCGAGACCCUGCACUGUGACCAAUAAUUUGGCAGUACCAACCAAAUCAGAGUGAUAAUGUGCGGAGGGCAUAUUUGUCGUUAGGCCCCAUGCAACCAAAACUCAAACAUUAUAGAGCUUCUGGUAAAAAAGGCCAUCAGCGUCGCUUCCAAUGUAAGUGGUUUGAUAGUUUCCCAUCAUGGCUAGAGUACUCAGAGGAUAGUCAUCGCGCAUACUGUUUACUCUGCUUUGUUUCUAGCAGAAAUAUCAGCAAAAGGAGGCUUGAUGUAUUCACAGUACAUGGAGUUGAUAACUGGAAAAGGGUGAAUGAUGGAAAAUAUUGUGCACUCUUAGGCCAUGAAGGUUCUACGCCAUGCUCACCACACAACAAUGCAGUCAUAGAACGUCAAGUAUUGUUGAACCAGGCAGGUCAUUUAGAAAAUGUUGUAGCAGCAAAGGGCCUUCUCGCAGAGUUCAAUCCUGAUCUUACCAAAGUCAUUUUGGGGAAUUCUCCAUACAACUCAAAGUACACAUCUCCAGAUAUUCAAAAGGAAAUCUUGUCCAUAUAUGCAUCUAAAGUUAGGAGACAUAUCCGUGAAGAAAUUAGGGAUUCCAAAUUAUCUAUUCUGGUGGAUGAGACAUGUGACGUGGCUAAAAGAGAACAAAUGGCAUUGGUUUUCAGAUUUGUUGAUAAAGCUGGCUUUUCACAAGAGUGGUUCUUUGAUUUGAUACAUGCGGCCAACACCAAGUCCAUGACACUGAAAGAUAAGUUGUGCUCUGCAUUAUCAUUAAAUGGUUUUGAUAUUCAGAAUCUUCGUGGACAAGGAUACGAUGGGGCUAGCAACAUGAGAGGAGAGCUGAAUGGGUUGCAGUCUCAUUUUCUCAAGGUAUGCCCAUAUGCAUACUAUGUUCAUUGUUAUGCUCACAGAUUGCAGCUAGCACUAGUAGAUGCAUCCAAAGAGGUGGUUCCUGUUGCCCAGUUUUUUCAGAAAUUGAUCUUCAUUAUUAACACCGUCGACUCCUCAUCAAAAUGCCAUGAUGAGCUCCAUGAUGCCCAGUUGGUAGAACUAGCACGUAUGAUAGAAAAUGGAAGCAUUCAGACUAGUCAAGGGGCAAAUCAGAUUCAAUCACUUAAAAGACCCGGGGACAGUAGGUGGGGUUCUCCGUUUGGUUCUAUUCAUAGCCUUAUGAAGUUGUUUAAUGUGGUAAAUUUUGUUAUCCAAGAUAUGGCUUCAGAUGGAUCAGUAGUGGGAUCAAUACGUGCUGAUGCUGACACUUCUUUCAGCUAUUUGUCCUCGUUCGAGUUUGUCAUUAUCUUAUGUAUGAUGAAGGAGAUAUUAGGGAUAACUGAAGGACUUGGUCAGGCUUUACAAAAGAGGUCACAAGACAUUGUAAAUGUUGUUCGUCUAGUGUUUGCAACAAAAGAGUGUCUUCAUCAGUUGAGAUCGGACAAAGGCUGGGAGGAAUUCUUUUGCAUAGUUGUUGAAUUUUGUGUGAAUCAUGGCACUGAAAUUCCAGACAUGAAGGAAACUUAUAUCAUGCGUGGUGGCUAUGCACGGCAUCAGCCUGAUCAUUUCACUAAGGAGCAAUAUUUUUGAGUCGAGAUAUUCCGUGCAACUCUUGAUAGCCAACUACAUGAAUUGGAUUGGAGGUUCAAUGAGAAUGAGAAGAUGAUGGAUCUUCUGUCCACCAGUGCCACAUUAAUUCCUAGAAAUAAAUUUAAAUCUUUUAAAGGUACUAGUGCUGAACAAGCAUUUUCCAGUUUGAAGAUCAUCAAAACAAGGCUGCAUAAUACGAUGGAAGAUGAGAAUCUUGCCAAUAACUUGGUUGUUCACAUAGAGCAUGAAAUCACAGAGAAAUACACGUUUGAGGACAUUUUAGCAGAAUUCAAGAGCAUAAGUGAUCGAAAAGCUGAUCUGUAG